UACGUAGUGGGCUAGCGUUAUUCGGAUUUACUGGGCGUAAAGGGCGCGCAGGCGGUUUGUACAGUCAGACGUGAAAUUCCUGGGCUCAACCUGGGGGCUGCGUUUGAUACGUGCGGACUUGAGUUCGGAAGAGGGUCGUGGAAUUCCCAGUGUAGAGGUGAAAUUCGUAGAUAUUGGGAGGAACACCGGUGGCGAAGGCGGCGACCUGGUCCGAUACUGACGCUGAGGCGCGAAAGCGUGGGGAGCAAACAGG
rnacentral:rRNA from 1 species